AUACCUUUCUCGGCCUUUUGGCUAAAAUCAAGUGUAGUGUCUGUUCUUAUCAGUUUAAUAUUUGAUAUGUGGGCCAUGUGCCCAAAACGAUAUUAAAUUUAUUUUUUAUGGGGGAGGGUCCACCACAGUGGCUUGCCAUUGGGGCCCUCGGGUGUCGCCUGGACGUUGCACUACAGCCUAGGCAGGCGCACCCCAC
rfam:Triticum aestivum genome assembly, contig: Triticum_aestivum_CS42_TGACv1_scaffold_569799_7AS